AUCAUGAGUUCACAUGUCCGCAUGAUUAAAGGUAUUUUCCGGUAGACGAUGGGGAUGCGUUCCAUUAGAUAGUAGGCGGGGUAACGGCCCACCUAGUCAACGAUGGAUAGGGGUUCUGAGAGGAAGGUCCCCCACAUUGGAACUGAGACACGGUCCAAACUCCUACGGGAGGCAGCAGUGAGGAAUAUUGGUCAAUGGGCGAUGGCCUGAACCAGCCAAGUAGCGUGAAGGAUGACUGCCCUAUGGGUUGUAAACUUCUUUUAUAAAGGAAUAAAGUCGGGUAUGCAUACCCGUUUGCAUGUACUUUAUGAAUAAGGACCGGCUAACUCCGUGCCAGCAGCCGCGGUAAUACGGAGGAUCCGAGCGUUAUCCGGAUUUAUUGGGUUUAAAGGGAGCGUAGAUGGAUGUUUAAGUCAGUUGUGAAAGUUUGCGGCUCAACCGUAAAAUUGCAGUUGAUACUGGAUGUCUUGAGUGCAGUUGAGGCAGGCGGAAUUCGUGGUGUAGCGGUGAAAUGCUUAGAUAUCACGAAGAACUCCGAUUG
rnacentral:rRNA from 1 species